AACGCAUAUUGCGCCCUUUGGUAUUCCGAAGGGCAUGCCUGUUCGAGCGUCAUUAUCACCAUAUCAAGCUCGGCUUGCUGUUGGGCCCUUUUGUCACCGGGUGACAGGUCCAAAAGACAAUGACCGGUGUCCUACAGACUCCAUGUGCAACGAGCUGACCACAGCACGCAUCUGGUAGUUAUGGGGCCCGGUUCUCGCGCCUCUAUUUCUCAAGGUUGACCUCGGAUCAGGUAGGAAUACCCGCUGAACUUAA
rnacentral:misc_RNA from 1 species